UUUCUUCAUUGUUGUUGAAACCUCCUCGUCCACGUCCAUGGCCUCGACCUCGUCCACGACCGCGACCUCUUCCAUAUUGACCUCGUCCAUUUCCGAUACUUUCUUCCUUAUCUUUCAUUUGCAUCUUGAAUAAUUUCUCCACUAUAUCUUGUUUUUUCUUAUGCUUUUCUUCAUAUGCUCGUAAGGAUCCCAUUAAUUGAUCAAUCGACAUCUCCUCCAAAUUUUUAGUUUCUUCAAUUGUUAUGACAAUAUGCUCGAAUUUGGAAGUUAAUGNNNN
rnacentral:lncRNA from 1 species